GGAAAAAACUUAUACCCCAUAAAGCACCAUUAGUAUUAGUAAGCCAGUUUAUUAAUCCAUGGAUAAUUUAGUUUAUUACCUUGUAUUUGAAGACAAAGCUGGAAUUUUGUUGAAAUUUGGCAUGGUUAUUCGACUUCUAAUGCUGUUCAGAAAGUAAAAGAUUUAAUGAAAGAAAGACCUGAUAUGAUUGGAGUUAAAAUUGGUGUUAAAACCAGGGGAUGUAAUGGAUUGUCCUACACACUAGAUUAUGCAAGUGAGAAGGGCAAAUUCGAU